UUUGGAGAUGUGACUUAUUAUUUAGGUUAUAAUGCAUUACAAGAUUAUUUUCCAACUAUGAAAUUACGACCUAAUCCACAAUGUGAUGAUAAUUACUGUAUAAAACAACAACAAGCGUUUCAGAUCAAAGAAGCAACUAAACCAAAAGUAGAGAAAACUGAAGACAAAGUAGAAGAAAUAGUUCAUGAUGAUAAUGUCUGGGAAAUACAGCUUGUAUCUGAAACAACAGAAGAUGAAUUAAAAGAAGCUAACGGUCAGGUUCCAAAUUUGGUUGAAGGACUAAAAGUUGCUUAUACAACACCUGCUCCAACACAGGCCUCUCACGAGAAGACCGUAGACAGUACCGAAAAAUCUUUAGAUGAAUUAAUGAAAGAAAUGCAGGGAUUAUAACCCAUGGACUGUUUUAACUGAUUAUGCCAGUAUUUUAACUGAUGAAUUUAACUUUGAAAAUGGUGUUUGUCGUGUCUGAAACUUGGGUUAAUAUGACCAAAUAUGGACAUAUAUUCAUCAACAAUGUUAAAGUUGAUAAUGUUAUUAUCAAUUUAUAAAAUGAACAAUGUCCAAUCUUUGCAUGGAGUAACAACGUGUUAUACCGUAUCUACCAGUAUCUAAAACUGAUAGAGUCGACCUGACAUAAUGUCGCUCUGUCCUUUAUUAUAAUAGAUUUAUUAACCUAUAUCAUUUUCUUCCAAGGACUUUAUUGCGAAUUUUUUAUUUCUGUAUUAUAAUUUA